ACCACUCCCACAAACGUCUACGACCGCGCCUACAUAUUUUUGCACGUUUACAAUUCUAAUUUUAAACAGCCAAUUACCAAGAACCUGAUUGGCUGUUCAAAAUUAGAAUUGUAAACAUGCAAAACUAUGUAGGUGCGGUCGUAGACGUUUGUGGGAGUGGC
rnacentral:miRNA from 1 species